rnacentral:lncRNA from 1 species
AUGCAGCGUCCCAGCGGCGCCUCUUCUACCUCACGCUGUGAUGGCAAUAACCUGCCUUCCUGGCCAGCAGCCGACGGAUCCGGGACAAGGGAAGCCCCAGGCCCGGCCGGGCCCGACGGACACCCUCGCUCGGAAAGAGGCGUCCUCAGGGGGGCAGGCCCCUUCCGGCUGAAAAGGAAAGGGUCCGCAGACCGGCAGCAGCAGGGCCAGGCGGCCCCCAAGAGCCGCCUCUGCGCGGAGGCCUCCCACGAAAGCCCCAUCCAAGCCGUCCGGAAGCCCCCCGUGCGGGAGGCCAGCCUGGGCUUCGACUCGGACGAGGAGUCCGCGCGAGGGAGCGCCGCCGUGGCCCUGCUCCGGAAGCUGUUCUGCCUGAAAGCGGCUCCCUCUCGGCUGAAGAAACCGGGGGGCCCUCCGGAGAAGGCGUCGCCGUUCUGCAGGGAGAACAAGAGGUGCGGGACGGUGGCCGCCCUCAGCGGGACGGCGGACGCCCAGGGGGAGUCUCCCCUGCGGUGGAAGCCCCGGGCGGAAGCCCAGGGUCCGGCAGAAGCGCCACCCGUCCCUGCAGAGGUGAAGGAAGAUGCUGCCGGCGGCCAAGGGGGGUGGAGGGCGGUGAAGCCGUGGAGGACGCUGCGGACCCUGAUGGUCUCCGGGCGCCGGACAAGACGGGACGCCCCCGAGGCGGAGAGGAGUGGUGGGGAGACGGCGGAGGAAGGGGACCCCUCCCUCCCUGCAGAACCUCUGGCGGGCAUCCCCGCUGGAGAACCGCCAAGCACCGCAGCAGACCGAGAGGCAGGGUCGGCACGGCCGCCCAGCCCGGAUGGAGCCUGUCGAGGCCCCCGAGAGACCUGGGCCGGGUGGGAGAGCCACGCGAAGCCGGGAAGGGCCUUGGCAGCCCCCGGGGGCGAUCGGGAAGCGGAAAAGCCCAGUGGCUCUAUGAGUGGCAGAAGAAGCCACUGGGCGGAGCUUCCAGGCCCGGAAGACACUUCUGAGCUUUUCCCAGGUUUGAGCCUCCCUGGGGGAGGCAGGAUCGAGGCAGGAGGGCUGGCGGUAGAAGACCAAGGGCCGGAGCUGGCGGCCUUGCGAGCCUGGCUGGAGGAGAACGAAGACCUGGCCGACCUGGCCGAAAACCCAGGAGGGCAGGGCAUGGUCAUGGCCACAGGGGAUCUGGGCUGGCUGGACAGGGAGGCCCUGGGGGGCCCUGGGUUUGGAACGGGCAGGAGCAGAGUGGGGCAGAGCGCGGAGCUUUGCCCGGGGAGCCACCCGGAAAGCCAGGAGGCUGAAGGACAGAAGGUAGGAAUGGAAUGCGCCGAGGAAGAGGGGCUGGGCAGAAGUUUCUUCUUGACCCACGACACAGGAAACGGCAGCCCUGAGGCUCCGGGCUCCGUCCUGGGAGAUGCUUCUGGGACCCAGUGCCUGACAGGUGUUGGCCCCCAGCUUCCCGGCUCCCCUCUGGAGCUGCAUCCCUUGUUUUCACCCAGAGGCUUAGAGCCCAGCACCCCAGGCCUGCCCCUGUCAGAAAAAGGCAUCGGCUGCCAGCAAGAAUACCCAACGCUGGCGCCCCCGUCCCUCCCCGGAGAGCGAGACGAAGGCAGAGGGCCGCUGGAGGCGACGGAGACCAGAACAGCACAGGAGAAGCAACUGCUCUACGCGACCGCGGCGGAGAUUGUGGGGGCGGCCAUCGACGCAGCAGCUGAGCAGCUGGCCAAGAAACCGGAGGGGGCAGGGCUGGGGCGGAGCCGGCAUUUUCCCUGA